rnacentral:tRNA from 1 species
AGGCGGUCGGGUUCGGGGACCUGACCUUCUUCAGCAAGGUCGGGUACGGCGGCGGCGGUUCCUGUGCCACCGUCGCCCA